AUUCUGAAGACUGACUGAGCGUGGAAGUUGCUCAACAAAAAAAGGAACGGGUAUAUUGAGUCUUGCUCUAUUGCCCAGGCUGCAACUGGCGUGAUCUUGGCUCACUACAACCUCUGCCUCCUGGGUUCAAGUGAUUCUCCUGCCUCAACCUCCCAAGUAGCUGGGAUUACAAGCAUGCACCACCAUGCCUGGCUAAUUUUUGUAUUUUUAGUGGAGACGGGGCUUCGCCACGUUGGCCAGGGUGGUCUUGAACUCCUGACCUCAAGUGAUCCACCUGCCUUGGCCUUCCAAAGUGCUGGGAUUAUAAGCAUGAGCCACCGCACCCAGCCUUAUACUGAACUUUCAAUGGGUUCAAUUCCACUAGGAGCAUAAAGUCCACUGCAUAUGAGUUGUGGAAAGAAGAGAUUAGAGGAAGAAGGAAGAACUUGAGAUGAGUUCUUCCCUUCAACAUUCUGUCUCCUCCUACCUAGCAUCUUCUUUCUUUUAGUCUUUCUAGAAUGUCCAUCUGUUUUUGGCCAUUGCAGAAAGAGAAGCUGAGCUUUAAAGGCGUA
rnacentral:antisense_RNA from 1 species